AUUGAACGCUGGCGGCAUGCUUUACACAUGCAAGUCGAACGGCAGCGGGGUAGUGCUUGCACUACUGCCGGCGAGUGGCGAACGGGUGAGUAAUAUAUCGGAACGUACCGAGUAAUGGGGGAUAACCAAUCGAAAGAUUGGCUAAUACCGCAUACGUCCUGAGGGAGAAAGCGGGGGAUCGCAAGACCUCGCGUUAUUCGAGCGGCCGAUAACUGAUUAGCUAGUUGGUGGGGUAAAGGCCUACCAAGGCGACGAUCAGUAGCGGGUCUGAGAGGACGAUCCGCCACACUGGGACUGAGACACGGCCCAGACUCCUACGGGAGGCAGCAGUGGGGAAUUUUGGACAAUGGGGCAACCCUGAUCCAGCCAUGCCGCGUGUAUGAAGAAGGCCUUCGGGUUGUAAAGUACUUUUGUUAGGGAAGAAAAGGGAAGUACUAAUACCACUUUUUGCUGACGGUACCUAAAGAAUAAGCACCGGCUAACUACGUG
rnacentral:rRNA from 1 species